GACGAACGCUGGCGGCGUGCCUAAUACAUGCAAGUAGAACGCUGAAGAGAGGAGCUUGCUCUUCUUGGAUGAGUUGCGAACGGGUGAGUAACGCGUAGGUAACCUGCCUUGUAGCGGGGGAUAACUAUUGGAAACGAUAGCUAAUACCGCAUAACAAUGGAUGACACAUGUCAUUUAUUUGAAAGGGGCAAUUGCUCCACUACAAGAUGGACCUGCGUUGUAUUAGCUAGUAGGUGAGGUAAUGGCUCACCUAGGCGACGAUACAUAGCCGACCUGAGAGGGUGAUUGGGCAACCUGGGACUGAGACACCGCCCAGACUUCCUCGGGAGGCAGCAGUAGGGAAUUCUCGGCAAUGGGGGCAACCCUGACCGAGCAACGCCGCGUGAGUGAAGAAGGUUUUCGGAUCGUAAAGCUCUGUUGUAAGUCAAGAACGGGUGUGAGAGUGGAAAGUUCACACUGUGACGGUAGCUUACCAGAAAGGGACGGCUAACUACGUG
rnacentral:rRNA from 1 species